UUUGCAAAUAAAAAUCUAGGGGGGUGGGGAGGAGCAGGAAGUGGCGGUGCGAGAGCUGCUGCACAGCUAGCAGAGCCGCGGUCCGGACGGCAGCGCGUGCCCCAAGCUCUCCACCUUCCCCCGCCCGCCAGCCCGAGGCAGCCCGAGCCCAGCCCGCGGCCCAAGCAGCAGCCCCGAGAGCAGCCCCAGCAGCAGCGCCAUGGCCGGGUGGAACGCCUACAUCGACAACCUCAUGGCGGACGGGACCUGUCAGGACGCGGCCAUCGUGGGCUAUAAGGACUCGCCCUCCGUCUGGGCCGCCGUCCCCGGGAAAACCUUCGUUAACAUCACGGUACUGAGAGGCCUGCGCGGUCUGGGGGACUGGUUGGGCUUGGACCCUGAGGGAGGGACUUGGGUGGGGGCGGGCGCGGUCUGGGGAAAGGCAGGGAAAGGCCGUGACCCGGUCCUUGCCAUGGAAGUGGCGCGAAUGGCGGCUGCAC